UACGGGGGGGGCAAGCGUUGUUCGGAAUUACUGGACGUAAAGGGCUCGUAGGUGGCCAACUAAGUCAGACGUGAAAUCCCUCGGCUUAACCGGGGAACUGCGUCUGAUACUGGAUGGCUUGAGAUUGGGAGAGGGAUGCGGAAUUCCAGGUGUAGCGGUGAAAUGCGUAGAUAUCGGGAGGAACAUCAGUGGCGAAGGCGGCUGCCUGGCCCAAUACUGACGCUGAGGCGCGAAAGCUAGGGGAGCAAACAGG
rnacentral:rRNA from 1 species